rnacentral:rRNA from 1 species
GACGAACGCUGGCGGCGUGCCUAAUACAUGCAAGUCGAACGAGAGCGACCGGUGCUUGUGCUGGUCAGUCUAGUGGCGAACGGGUGAGUAACACGUGGGAAAUCUGCCCGUCAGAGGGGGAUAACAUACGGAAACGGAUGCUAAAAGCGCAUACGUCCUCGAGCCGCAUGGCCUGCAGAGGAAAAGAGGCGCAAGCUUCUGCUGAUGGAUGGACCCGGGGUGCAUUAGCUAGUUGGUGAGGUAACGGCUCAGCAAGGCCGUGAUGCAUAGCCGACCUGAGGGGGUGAUCGGCCACAUUGGGACUGAGACACGGCCCAAACUCCUACGGGAGGCAGCAGUGGGGAAUCUUCCGCAAUGGACGCAAGUCUGACGCAGCAACGCGGCGUGAGUGAAGACGGUUUUCGGUUCGUAAAGCUCUGUUGUUAGAGAAGAACAUGUGUUAGAGGAACUGUUAGCGGCUUGACGGUAGCUAACCAGAAAGCCACGGCUAGCUACGUG